CGGAGGGUGCAAGCGUUGUCCGGAUUUAUUGGGUUUAAAGGGUGCGUAGGUGGUUUUCUAAGUCUGGUUUGAAAGCAAGCGGCUUAACCGUUUGAUGUGGCUGGAAACUGGGGGAACUUGAAUGGGUUGGCGGUAGCCGGAACGGGUCAUGUAGCGGUGAAAUGCAUAGAUAUGACCCAGAACACCGAUUGCGAAGGCAGGCUACUACGACUUGAUUGACACUGAGGCACGAGAGCAUGGGUAGCGAACAGGAUU
rnacentral:rRNA from 1 species